UACGUAGGGGGCUAGCGUUGUCCGGAAUCAUUGGGCGUAAAGCGCGUGUAGGCGGUCCGGUAAGUCUGCUGUGAAAGUCCAGGGCUCAACCCUGGAAGGCCGGUGGAAACUGUCGGGCUAGAGUCCGGAAGAGGCGAGUGGAAUUCCCGGUGUAGCGGUGAAAUGCGCAGAUAUCGGGAGGAACACCAAUGGCGAAGGCAGCUCGCUGGGACGGUACUGACGCUGAGACGCGAAAGCGUGGGGAGCGAACAGG
rnacentral:rRNA from 1 species